UUCAUUUAUUCGGUGACGCACAACAGUGAUCAAUUUCCGAGUCGUAGAUAUAUUCGUCGGAGAUAGUCAAUAGUACGGUCACUGAACGAGAUGCAAGCGCGCCCUCUGGUGGCGCAUCCGGUGAAACAACAUUUUGGCGCGCUUGGCGGAGUCGUGGCGGUCAGCGUGGCGUCCGCGGAGCUCAGUCUUAAUUCAGUCUUAGCGCAGUCUCGGUUGAGUCGUCGCGUUACUACCUUACGUCACGUCUAGUGUACCUAGUAUUAUUGACUAGCGUUGUAAUACCGUUGUAGAUUCAAAUGUAGUGUCUUGUGAACUUAAAUUGUAACAGUUCUUCUAACCUAACAGACAAACAUGUGUUGCUGGGGAGUUUGUUCCGCCACUUCUUCUCCCCAGCCAAAACACAUAGGAAGUGGCGAAGGGCGGGCGUUUUUUGGGCUGUCUUUUGUUCUUAGUAAUUUGAAUAAACGUUCUUGAGUGUUGAGUUCUUUUUGAGUUAUCUCUUUGCUCGAUUACCCUAACUGAUGUCGGAUGAUAGUGCCAUCCAUCCUAGAUGUGCCCCUCCGACAUAUUGAAUUAUUUUUUUUCAAAAUGAAGGUAGAUCGAAAUAAAUAUUGAUACGUGCUUGAUCGUAAAUUCCAAUACUUGUGAUGUUUAUGAUUGCGUCAUGAGAUGUAAUGUCGCCUCACAAGGACCACACGCGACAGCCACAAACACCGCCACAAGAAGCAAGAAACGGCCACCACAAAAGUAGAAAUAUACAAGGGUGUUGGAGGAAAGGCUACCAGUCGGCGGUGAACAGUCGUGUUCAUUAGGAGAUGUGGCCCGUGUACGUUCCACUGCUGGCCAUGUCCGCCGUGUCGGCGAUAUCCGUCAUAUUCCUGUACUGCAAGAACCGGGGGAACAGCAGACAAGGCUACAUGGACGUCGAGGAGAAACCCUCGGACGGUGACUGAACGUUUAGUGUUUAUCUUAUGUAUUAUGAGUUACUGUGCUUAAUUAUACGCGUUAUUUUAUCGU